CAGUCGCCGCGGGAAUACGGAGGGUGCAAGCGUUAAUCGGAAUUACUGGGCGUAAAGCGCACGCAGGCGGUUUGUUAAGUCAGAUGUGAAAUCCCCGAGCUUAACUUGGGAACUGCAUUUGAAACUGGCAAGCUAGAGUCUUGUAGAGGGGGGUAGAAUUCCAGGUGUAGCGGUGAAAUGCGUAGAGAUCUGGAGGAAUACCGGUGGCAAAGGCGGCCCCCUGGACAAAGACUGACGCUCAUGCACGAAAGCGUGGGGAGCAAACAGGAUUAGAUACCCGGGUAGUCCCUGUCUCUUAUAA
rnacentral:rRNA from 1 species